AUUCUCACCUCUGAGAUGUUAUAAAUUGCAUUAAGAAGCAUCUCCUCCAAUCUUCAUGUUUUAAAAACAACUUGCUAGGGGCAUGUUGGAGGAAAGAAGUUGCAAUAGGCAAACUUAACAGAUUUACAGAUCAUCAAGGCAGAACCAUCUUAUUGUUGAUGCAAUCAUCCGUAGUUCAUGUGACCAUCACAGUAGACCAAUUCAACAGGGGAGUCAAAAAAAGAAAGAUGUACAUACUCAGAUCAUUAAUAUGGAAUGGCUCUGUGGAGCAAUCAGGUUCAAAAAAAUUUAAACAUUUAUUUUACUUUUGGGAGACCAUAGAGAAGUGAUAAAAGCAGAGAGGGGCAGCCUAAAAGACUGUGUCUUUACUUAGAAAACAGUAGAGCUCAUCGGCUUGUGGAUCCUGAGCUGGGAAAAAAGUUUUCUCUCAAUGGGAAAAGAAGUUUUCUUGUCCCACUUCUCAUCACAGUGAGAUCUCCUCUCUAGCAUCCCUAACGUGGGGCCAUCUCACCUCUCCCUGAACUCUUCCACAGGCUCAAGUUUGUACAUUCCAACUUGUUGUUUGGGCCUUGUUGGACAUAACUGAAGUCUGGAUGGCAGGGUGAAAAUUGGAUAAACAGCCACACUGACUCAGGGGAGAUUUUUUUUUAAUGCAAACAUCUGUUUCUUGAAUUUGGCCAUGGUAAGACCUAAGGGAAGGGGGAAUACCAGUUGACGAAAUAAGAUCAAGAAGAUACUGCCUCAUUUUUUCUUCUGUUUCAGGGGUAUAAAUCCUGCCUUCUCUCAGCCUUACAGAGGAAGAAAACCCUUUCCAAGUUUCCUCUGAUACUGGGUUUAUGCCCAAUUAUAGUUUAGGCAUGAAGAAACUGAAGCAUGGAGGAAAAACUUAGCAACUAGCCCAACGUCACACAGGCACCUUUCUCUUUACUCAUUGGACUCAGAGCCAGCCUUGACAAUGUGCUGAUGGCAACCU
ensembl:lncRNA PROX1-AS1 PROX1 antisense RNA 1